rnacentral:rRNA from 1 species
GCUUAGCCCUAAACUUAGAUGUAGCACUUACAAAAACAUCCGCCAGGGUACUACAAGCGCAAGCUUAAAACCCAAAGGACUUGACGGUGUCUCACCCACCUAGAGGAGCCUGUUCUAUAACCGAUAAUCCCCGUUAAACCUCACCACCCCUUGUAUACCCAGCCUAUAUAUCGCCGUCGUAAGCUUACCCUGUGAAGGCCUAAAAGUAAGCAAAAUGAGCACACCCCAGAACGUCAGGUCGAGGUGUAGCCAAUGGAGUGGGAAGAAAUGGGCUACAUUUUCUAAUUUAGAAAAUACGGACAGUGCCAUGAAAUCUGGCGCUUGAAGGUGGAUUUAGUAGUAAAAAAUUAAUAGAGCGAUUUUUUGAAUCAGGCCAUGAGACGCGU